ensembl:snRNA
GUGUUGCCUGUGAGGAGAGAAGUUAGCACUCCCUUCCACAGGAUGGAAGAGGCCCUUGGGCCUGACAACACACAAAAGCACUGCCACCUACUUUGUGGCAUCUAACCAUUGUUUUUU